UACGGAGGGAGCAAGCGUUACUCGGAAUUAUUGGGCGUAAAGGGCGCGUAGGCGAUCCGACAAGUCUGGUGUGAAAGCCCACAUGUUAACUGUGGAAGUGCAUUAGAAACUGUUGGAUUUGAGUUCAGGAGAGGAAGGCAGAAUUCCCGGUGUAGCGGUGAAAUGCGUAGAUAUCGGAAGGAACACCUGUGGCGAAAGCGGCUCACUGGACCAUAACUGACGCUGAGGCGCGAAAGCUAGGGGAGCAAACAGG
rnacentral:rRNA from 1 species